rnacentral:rRNA from 1 species
UACGAAGGGGGGCUAGCGUUGCUCGGAUUGACUGGGCGUAAAGGGCGCGUAGGCGGUUUGCACAGUCAGACGUGAAAUUCCUGGGCUCAACCUGGGGGCUGCGUUUGAUACGUGUAGACUUGAGUGCGGAAGAGGGUCGUGGAAUUCCCAGUGUAGAGGUGAAAUUCGUAGAUAUUGGGAAGAACACCGGUGGCGAAGGCGGCGACCUGGUCCCGAUACUGACGCUGAGGCGCGAAAGCGUGGGGAGCAAACAGGAUUGAGAU